rnacentral:rRNA from 1 species
AUUGAACGCUGGCGGAAUGCUUUACACAUGCAAGUCGAACGGCAGCACGGGGGCAACCCUGGUGGCGAGUGGCGAACGGGUGAGUAAUACAUCGGAACGUGCCCAGUCGUGGGGGAUAACGCAGCGAAAGCUGUGCUAAUACCGCAUACGAUCUAAGGAUGAAAGCGGGGGACCGAAAGGCCUCGCGCGAUUGGAGCGGCCGAUGGCAGAUUAGGUAGUUGGUGGGGUAAAGGCUCACCAAGCCGACGAUCUGUAGCUGGUCUGAGAGGACGACCAGCCACACUGGGACUGAGACACGGCCCAGACUCCUACGGGAGGCAGCAGUGGGGAAUUUUGGACAAUGGGCGCAAGCCUGAUCCAGCCAUUCC